rnacentral:rRNA from 1 species
UACGAAGGGGGCUAGCGUUGCUCGGAAUCACUGGGCGUAAAGCGCACGUAGGCGGCUUACUAAGUCAGGGGUGAAAUCCUGGAGCUCAACUCCAGAACUGCCUUUGAUACUGGCGAUCUUGAGUCCGGGAGAGGUGAGUGGAACUGCGAGUGUAGAGGUGAAAUUCGUAGAUAUUCGCAAGAACACCAGUGGCGAAGGCGGCUCACUGGCCCGGUACUGACGCUGAGGUGCGAAAGCGUGGGGAGCAAACAGGG